rnacentral:rRNA from 1 species
GACGAACGCUGGCGGCGUGCUUAACACAUGCAAGUCGAACGGAAAGGCCCUGCUUUUGUGGGGUGCUCGAGUGGCGAACGGGUGAGUAACACGUGAGUAACCUGCCCUUGACUGUGGGAUAACUUCAGGAAACUGGGGCUAAUACCGGAUAGGAGCUCCUGCUGCAUGGUGGGGGUUGGAAAGUUUCGGUGGUUGGGGAUGGACUCGCGGCUUAUCAGCUUGUUGGUGGGGUAGUGGCUUACCAAGGCCUUGACGGGUAGCCGGCCUGGGAGGGUGACCGGCCACAUUGGGACUGGGGUACGGCCCAGACUCCUACGGGAGGCAGCAGUGGAGAAUAUUGCACAAUGGGCGGAAGUCUGAUGCAGCAACGCCGCGUGCGGGAUGACGGCCUUCGGGUUGUAAACCGCUUUCGCCUGUGACGAAGCGUGAGUGACGGUAAUGGGUAAAGAAGCACCGGCUAACUACGUG